UAGCUUUGACCUGGAGAAGGGGAUAGUUUUAAGAGGAGACAACAUCUGCGUAGCCUCAAGCAAAUCACGCGGCCAGCGGAUCCAAAGAGUCAUUAACGAAUUGAGAAUAUUUACUACUUUCAAGCAGGGUUACAGAGAAGCCAUGAAACUCCAUUCAGUUGUUACUCUUCUCGUUCUGGUUCUUUUUACAACUGUACCUGACGAUACUGAAGCUGUACCAGUCGCCUGGUUUCUUAGAAUCGCAGCCAAACUCGGAGUAAAGCUUGCGAAAAACAGCUACUACGCUCGCUGUAACACACGCCGCACACCGCCCGGGAUAAGCUGUCCCUCUGUUGUCUACGGUGUCGGUCUUUCUAGAGGACAGGCCCAGAACUCAGCCCGGGUUUACGCAGCUACAUUUGGGGAUGACGAGUGUAAGGGUUACGUGGGCCAUUGCAGUAUUAAGAAAUUCAUCAAGUGAAGAACACUCACAUCAGUUGGUGAUCAUUUCCUUUAUUCUUGUGACCUUAAUGUUUGAUUCAAAGGUGAUAUUGUAGGGAGAAAUAGAAUGUUGGUCACUCUUCGGGGUUAACGGGUUAAUAAAGAGAAAAAAGCUAAAUAAAAUUUUAGAAUUUGACGUUUGCAUACACUUAGACAGCCAUUUAUAGAGGGAAAAAGUAGAAUAAAGAUUUAAACUGAUUAUUGAUUUUUCUGAAUAAAGGUACAAAAACUA